UGAGUAGGCGGUAAUAUGUGUCAGAUGUAAAAGGCUAUGGCUUAACCAUAGUUGGCAUUUGAAGCUGUAUUACUUGAGUGCAGGAGAGGUAAGUGGAAUUCCUAGUGUAGCGGUGAAAUGCGUAGAUAUUAGGAGGAACACCAGUGGCGAAGGCGACUUACUGGACUGUAACUGACGCUGAGUCACGAAAGCGUGGGUAGCAAACA
rnacentral:rRNA from 1 species